AUGCUGGGGACCCUUUGCUCUCUCAUCACAGCUCUAACAUGUGUGAAUGGUGUGGUAGUUGUGUCACAGGUGCCUUUAGUUGUGAUGGUGAGGAAAGGAGAGACGGCCAACAUGGACUGUAAUUCAGCUGUUACUGGACCACGUUUUUUCAAACAGAUUCCAGGAGGAAUCCCUCAGUUUGUUUUAAAUUUUAAUAAGGGCUGGAGCUCUCCAGACUUUGGUUCUGGUUUCUCUGCUCCCAAAUUUACUGUUAAUCAUCAGUCAAACUCAGAUUAUCAUCUUAGAAUUAGCAAUGUUGAAGGAGACGCUGCAGUAUAUUACUGUAGCACAUGGGACACCUCUGCUAAAGAGCACGUAUCACAGUGA